AGCUGCGUGGCAGAGAGGGAAUGCGUCAGGGAGGUCUUAUAGACCCCCUGAAGUUCGCUGGUUCGAUCCCAGCCGCAGCGA